UAAGUCUGAUGUUAAAUUUUGGGGCUCAACCCCAACACGCAUUGGAUACUGGCAUACUAGAGUUAUGUAGAGGUUAAUGGAAUUCCUUGUGAAGCGGUGGAAUGCGUAGAUAUAAGGAAGAACACCAAUAUGGCGAAGGCAGUUAACUGGGCAUACACUGACACUGAGAGACGAAAGCGUGGGGAGCAAACAGGAUUAGAUACCCUGGUAGUCCACGCCCUAAACGAUGAUCAUUAGCUGAUGGGGAACUCAUCGGCGCAGCUAACGCAUUAAAUGAUCCGCCUGAGUAGUACGUUCGCAAGAAUAAAACUUAAAGGAAUUGACGGGGAUCCGCACAAGCGGUGGAGCAUGUGGUUUAAUUCGUGGAUACGCGUAGAACCUUACCCACUCUUGACAUCUUCUGCAAAGCUAUAGAGAUAUAGUGGAGGUUAACAGAAUGACAGAUGGUGCAUGGUUGUCGUCAGCUCGUGUCGUGAGAUGUUCGGUUAAGUCCUGCAACGAGCGCAACCCUUGUCCUUAGUUACUAACAUUAAGUUGAGCACUCUAAGGAGACUGCCCGAGUAAUUGGGAGGAAGGUGGGGACGACGUCAAAUCAUCAUGCCUCUUACGAGUGGGGCAACACACGUGCUACAAUGGUCGGUACAAAGAGAAGCAAACUGGUGACAGGGAGCAAACCUCAAAAAACCGAUCUCAGUUCGGAUUGUAGUCUGCAACUCGACUACAUGAAGUCGGAAUCGCUAGUAAUCGUAGAUCAGCUACGCUACGGUGAAUACGUUCUCGGGUCUUGUACACACCGCCCGUCAAACCAUGGGAGCUGGUAAUGCCCGAAGUCGGUUUAUAAACAAACUGCCUAAGGCAGGACUGGUGACUGGGGUUAGUCGUACAGUAUCC
rnacentral:rRNA from 2 species